CAUCGCCCUGCCGUUGCUACCGCCACAGCCACCGCCACUGCUACAGCCAUUCAUCUGCCAGCGGCGAAGAAAGCGAUGAAAAGCAAAGCUUCUCCUCCAAAAACAAAUUCUCUUCCCGCAAUGCUUCUUCCAAGUACGAUUUCGUUAAGGUGAAGGUGCGGUUGGGUGAUAAUGCGGAUCACUACUAUGUUCUGUCUAGAUUUUUGCUCAGUAGGUGCGGUUGGAUGAUAAUGCUGCAAUGUGGAUUCGAUUUGGAAAAUGGCCAGUGCUGGUUUAUCUGGAACUCUUUUGUCAGGAAUUGGAAAUUUGAGCCAUCUCCGAACAUUGUUACUACAGAACAAUCAGUUAUCUGGUCCUAUCGCGGCUGAGAUAGGCAAGUUGUCAGAGCUUCAAACUCUAGAACUUUCCAGUAACCAGUUUGUUGGAGGAAUUCCUAGUUCUUUGGGCUUAUUGUCUCAACUAAGUUACUUGUGGCUCAGCAAAAAUAAUCUAUCUGGACAGAUCCCUCCACUUGUUACUAACUUGACAGGGACUUGUCAUUUAAUAAUCUCAGUGGUCCCACUCCAAAAAUUUUGGCAAAAGGUUACAU